ACAACGUCACUCAAACAUACACAGCGGAUAAUUUUAUUCUAAUUUAUUCAGCAGCUGCUUCAGGUUUACCUAUCAAUAUACGUAUCUACUUAAAUAAAAGUAAAGGAAACUGAAGUAUAGUUACUUUGCUACAAGAUUUAUCAUUCAAAUAGUUUGUGCUACAUAAAUAUACUUUAGUUCUAAUGCAUAGUGCAUCAUUGCAGACAUUGCAAACAGCCCAAGCAAGGAAGGACAGUAUGCACGGUACACUCAGCACAAUGGACCAGAGCGUGCUGCCGGGCACGUACGACUCGUGCCGAGGAUACUUGCAGUUGGUCUCUAGUUCCCACUGCGGGAUGACUCGUUCGAAGGGUGUCAUACUUUCCAUGUAGCUGUGGAUUUGAGAUGUAGUUUGGAUACUUAUGGAAUCUUAAAACCUUUUUUUUCAGUAAUAGCUUUCUAAAUAAUCAGGGUAUUAAAUA